rnacentral:rRNA from 1 species
CCUACGGGUGGCAGCAGUAGGGAAUAUUGCUCAAUGGGGGAAACUCUGAAGCAGCAACGCCGCGUGGAGGAUGAAGGUUUUAGGAUUGUAAACUCCUUUUGUUAGAGAAGUUUAUGACGGUAUCUAACGAAUAAGCAACGGCUAACUCCGUGCCAGCAGCCGCGGUAAUACGGAGGGUGCAAGCGUUACUCGGAAUCACUGGGCGUAAAGAGUGCGUAGGCGGGGUAAUAAGUCAGAUGUGAAAUCCUGUAGCUUAACUACAGAACUGCAAUUGAAACUGUUACUCUGGAGUGUGGGAGAGGUAGGCGGAAUUCUUGGUGUAGGGGUAAAAUGCGUAGAGAUCAAGAGGAAUACUCAUUGCGAAGGCGACCUGCUAGAACAUUACUGACGCUGAUGCACGAAAGCGUGGGGAGCAAACAGGAUUAGAUACCCGUGUAGUC